CAAAUUCACACGAUUUUACUGUAGUUAAAAUAGGCUACUUGCUGCAAGUGCGGAAAAACUUUAGCAAAGUCCAGCAAAGAAGGUUGUGGAACACAUAAAGUGUGAAAAAAGGAUCAAAUCAAAGCAGCAAGCAGUCUAUAGAUGAUAUUGAGCUCCAUAAUCGGUCACUCGGAAUUGAAAACGCAACCACAA